CACGGCUUCGACAGAGAUAGGUCGAGGCUGAGUUGCGAGCCGAGCUGGGCAGGCCUCGAAAAAGGCCCACGCCAAUAAUAACUGGCAAACAAGAAGAAAACCUCGCAGUAGCUGCAUAAGCAGUUUUCUGCGGAUCCCGCUCUCCAUCGCCCAUGUGGAGUGAUACGGGGUCUCACUAAUAGUGGGCUACGCUGUCCAGCCACCGUCUGAGGCUGGCAGAAGAGACCAAUCAGACUAGCCAUGCGGCGGCUUGUCACUAAGCCAAAGCAGCGGCGAAUCAUAAUAUAGUGACUACGCUCGUAGAAGCUCAGUCAGCGAUAUCUCUGGACGUGGGUUCGAUUA
rnacentral:tmRNA from 1 species